AACCUUUACACUGCACGACAGUGCGAUAGGGGGACUCCGAGUGCGGGGGCAUAGAGCCCUCGCUUUUGUACACCGUAAGGUGGUGUACGAAUAAGAACUGGGCAAGACCGGUGCCAGCCGCCGCGGUAAUACCGGCAGUUCGAGUGAUGGCCGAUUUUAUUGGGCCUAAAGCGUUCGUAGCUGGCCGAUCAAGUCUGUCGGGAAAUCUGCUCGCCUAACGAGCAGGCGUCCGGCGGAAACUGAUCGGCUUGGGACCGGAAGACUCGAGGGGUACGUCCGGGGUAGGAGUGAAAUCCUGUAAUCCUGGACGGACCACCGAUGGCGAAAGCACCUCGAGAGCACGGAUCCGACAGUGAGGAACGAAAGCUGGGGUCUCGAACCGGAUUAGAUACCCGGGUAGUCCCAGCUGUCAACGAUGCCCGCUAGGUAUGGCGCAGGCUACGAGCCUGUGCUAUGCCGUAGCGAAGGCGCUAAGCGGGCCGCCUGGGAAGUACGUUCGCAAGAAUGAAACUUAA
rnacentral:rRNA from 1 species